rnacentral:tRNA from 2 species
UUUCUUAUGGUGUAAAUAAACACAUUAGUUUUUCACACUGAAGAUGAUUAAAUAUCUAAGGGGC